rnacentral:rRNA from 1 species
AAAACAUGUCUUUUUGAAAAUAAUAUAAAGUCUAAUCUGCCCACUGAUUUUAAAUUGAAGGGCUGCAGUAUAUUGACUGUACAAAGGUAGCAUAAUCAUUAGUCAUUUAAUUGAUGACUUGUAUGAAAGAUUGAAUGAGAUAUAUACUGUCUCUAAUUUAAUUAUAAAAUUUAAUUUUUUUAUUAAAAAGUUAAGAUAUUUUAAAAAGACGAGAAGACCCUAUAGAGUUUAAUUGAUUAUUAAUUUGAUUUUAUUUUGAAAAAUAAUAAUGAAAUUUAAUAAUUUAUUUUAUUGGGGUGAUAAAAAAAUAAAUAAAACUUUUUUUAAUAAAGAACAUUUAUAAGUGGGUAAAUGAUCCAAUAAUAUUGAUUAUAAGAAAAAAUUACCUUAGGGAUAACAGCGUAAUUUUUUUUUUUAGUUCAAAUAAGAAAGAGAGUUUGCGACCUCGAUGUUGGAUUAAGAUAAAAUUUAAAUGUAGAAGUUUAAAAUUUUGAUCUGUUCGAUCAUUAAAAUCUUACAUGAUCU